rnacentral:rRNA from 1 species
UACAGAGGAUGCAAGCGUUAUCCGGAAUGAUUGGGCGUAAAGCGUCUGUAGGUGGCUUUUUAAGUUCGCCGUCAAAUCCCAGGGCUCAACCCUGGACAGGCGGUGGAAACUACCAAGCUGGAGUACGGUAGGGGCAGAGGGAAUUUCCGGUGGAGCGGUGAAAUGCGCAGAUAUCAGGAGGAACACCGAUGGCGAAGGCAGGUCUCUGGGCCACUACUGACGCUGAGAAGCGAAAGCAUGGGGAGCGAACAGG